AGUGAACGCUGGCGGUAGGCCUAACACGUGCCAGUCGAACGGCGGCACAGUAAGAGCUUGCUCUUACGGGUGGCGAGUGGCGGACGGGUGAGGAAUACAUCGGAAUCUACUUUUUCGUGGGGGAUAACGUAGGGAAACUUACGCUAAUACCGCAUACGACCUACGGGUGAAAGCAGGGGAUCUUCGGACCUUGCGCGAUUGAAUGAGCCGAUGUCGGAUUAGCUAGUUGGCGGGGUAAAGGCCCACCAAGGCGACGAUCCGUAGCUGGUCUGAGAGGAUGAUCAGCCACACUGGAACUGAGACACGGUCCAGACUCCUACGGGAGGCAGCAGUGGGGAAUAUUGGACAAUGGGCGCAAGCCUGAUCCAGCCAUACCGCGUGGGUGAAGAAGGCCUUCGGGUUGUAAAGCCCUUUUGUUGGGAAAGAAAAGCAGCAGGUUAAUACCCCGCUGUUCUGACGGUACCCAAAGAAUAAGCACCGGCUAACUUCGU
rnacentral:rRNA from 1 species